rnacentral:rRNA from 1 species
UUUUUUGCUGACGAGUGGCGGACGGGUGAGUAAUGCUUGGGAAUCUGGCUUAUGGAGGGGGAUAACUACGGGAAACUGUAGCUAAUACCGCGUAGUAUCGAGAGAUGAAAGUGUGGGACCGCAAGGCCACAUGCCAUAAGAUGAGCCCAAGUGGGAUUAGGUAGUUGGUUAGGUAAAGGCUGACCAAGCCGACGAUCUCUAGCUGGUCUGAGAGGAUGACCAGCCACACUGGAACUGAGACACGGUCCAGACUCCUACGGGAGGCAGCAGUGGGGAAUAUUGCACAAUGGGGGGAACCCUGAUGCAGCCAUGCCGCGUGAAUGAAGAAGGCCUUCGGGUUGUAAAGUUCUUUCGGUGAUGAGGAAGGUGUUUGUUUUAAUAGAACAAGCAAUUGACGUUAGUCACAGAAGAAGCACCGGCUAACUCCGUGCCAGCAGCCGCGGUAAUACGGAGGGUGCGAGCGUUAAUCGGAAUAACUGGGCGUAAAGGGCACGCAGGCGGUGACUUAAGUGAGAUGUGAAAGCCCCGAGCUUAACUUGGGAAUUGCAUUUCAUACUGGGUCGCUAGAGUACUUUAGGGAGGGGUAGAAUUCCACGUGUAGCGGUGAAAUGCGUAGAGAUGUGGAGGAAUACCGAAGGCGAAGGCAGCCCCUUGGGAAUGUACUGACGCUCAUGUGCGAAAGCGUGGGGAGCAAAC